AGGAGCAUAGUAUAGUGGUAGUACAAAAGUCUCCAAAACUUUUGGUUAAGGUUCGAUUCCUUAUGCUCCUGCCA
rnacentral:tRNA from 1 species